rnacentral:rRNA from 1 species
GACGAACGCUGGCGGCGCGCUUAACACAUGCAAGUCGAGCGAGAACCAGGGCUUCGGCCCUGGGGACAGCGGCGAACGGGUGAGUAACACGUGGGUAAUCUGCCCUCGGCACCGGAAUAGCCCGGGGAAACCCGGAUUAAUGCCGGAUGGCCCCUUCACCUCGCGAGGUGUCGGGAAAAGGUAGCUUCGGCCUCUGGCCGAGGAUGAGCCCGCGGCGGAUUAGCUUGUUGGGGGGGUAACGGCCCACCAAGGCGACGAUCCGUAGCUGGUCUGAGAGGACCAUCAGCCACACGGGGACUGAGACACGGCCCAGACUCCUACGGGAGGCAGCAGUGGGGAAUCUUGCGCAAUGGGCGAAAGCCUGACGCAGCGACGCCGCGUGAGGGAAGAAGGCCUUCGGGUUGUAAACCUCUUUCAGGAGGGACGAAGCUACUCGGGUGAAUAGCCCAGAGGGUGACGGUACCUCCAGAAGAAGCCCCGGCUAACUACGUGCCAGCCGCCGCGGUAA